rnacentral:rRNA from 1 species
UACGUAGGGUGCGAGCGUUGUCCGGAAUUAUUGGGCGUAAAGAGCUCGUAGGCGGUGUGUCACGUCGUUCGUGAAAACCUGCAGCUUAACUGUGGGCGUGCGGUCGAUACGGGCAUCACUGGAGUUCGGCAGGGGAGACUGGAAUUCCUGGUGUAGCGGUGAAAUGCGCAGAUAUCAGGAGGAACACCGGUGGCGAAGGCGGUUCUCUGGGCCUGUACUGACGCUGAGGAGCGAAAGCGUGGGGAGCGAACAGG